rnacentral:rRNA from 1 species
ACGGUCCUAAGGUAGCGAAAUUCCUUGUCGGGUAAGUUCCGACCUGCACGAAUGGCAUAACGAUGGCCACACUGUCUCCUCCCGAGACUCAGUGAAGUUGAAAUGUUUGUGAUGAUGCAAUCUACCCGCGGCUAGACGGAAAGACCCCAUGAACCUUUACUGCAGCUUUGCAUUGAACUGUGAACCGAUUUGUGUAGGAUAGGUGGGAGGCAGAGAAGAGGCCACGCCAGUGGCCUUGGAGCCGACCUUGAAAUACCACCCUGAUUUGUUUGCGGUUCUAACCACGGACAGUGAUCCUGUCUUGGGACCGUGCAUGGUAGGCAGUUUGACUGGGGCGGUCGCCUCCUAAAGGGUAACGGAGGAGUACGAAGGUACGCUAGGUACGGUCGGAAAUCGUGCUGAUAGUGCAAUGGCAAAAGCGUGCUUGACUGCGAGAGCAACAACUCGAGCAGAUGCGAAAGCAGGUCAUAGUGAUCCGGUGGCUCUGAAUGGAAGGGCCAUCGCUCAACGGAUAAAAGGUACUCUGGGGAUAACAGGCUGAUACCGCCCAAGAGUUCAUAUCGACGGCGGUGUUUGGCACCUCGAUGUCGGCUCAUCUCAUCCUGGGGCUGUAGUCGGUCCCAAGGGUAUGGCUGUUCGCCAUUUAAAGAGGUACGUGAGCUGGGUUUAAAACGUCGUGAGACAGUUUGGUCCCUAUCUGCCGUGGGCGUUGGAAGAUUGACGGGGGCUGCUCCUAGUACGAGAGGACCGGAGUGGACGCACCUCUGGUGUACCGGUUGUCACGCCAGUGGCAUUGCCGGGUAGCUAAGUGCGGAAGAGAUAACCGCUGAAAGCAUCUAAGCGGGAAACUUGCCUGAAGAUGAGUCUUCCCGGAGGUUGAACCUCCCUCAAGAGUCGUCCGAGACCAGGACGUCGAUAGGUCAGGUGUGUAAGCGCUGUAAGGCGUUGAGCUAACUGAUACUAAUUGCUCGUGAGGCUUGAUCCU